rnacentral:piRNA from 1 species
UCUUUUCAUUUCUUUCCUAGUUUCCUUCCU